rnacentral:rRNA from 1 species
UACGGGGGGGGCAAGCGUUGUUCGGAAUUACUGGGCGUAAAGGGCUCGUAGGUGGCCAACUAAGUCAGACGUGAAAUCCCUCGGCUUAACCGGGGAACUGCGUCUGAUACUGGAUGGCUUGAGAUUGGGAGAGGGACGCGGAAUUCCAGGUGUAGCGGUGAAAUGCGCAGAUAUCAGGAAGAACACCCGUGGCGAAAGCGGCUCUCUGGAACGGUACUGACGCUGAGACGCGAAAGCGUGGGGAGCGAACAGG